AGAGACAGCAGCAGCCGCGGUAAAACGGAGGGUGCAAGCGUUAAUCGGAAUUACUGGGCGUAAAGCGCACGCAGGCGGUCUGACAAGUCAGAUGUGAAAUCCCCGGGCUUAACCUGGGAACUGCAUUUGAAACUGUCAGGCUGGAGUCUUGUAGAGGGGGGUGGAAUUCCAGGUGUAGCGGUGAAAUGCGUAGAGAUCUGGAGGAAUACCGGUGGCGAAGGCGGCCCCCUGGACAAAGACUGACGCUCAGGUGCGAAAGCGUGGGGAGCAAACAGGAUUAGAUACCCCAGUAGUCCCUGUCUCUUAUCC
rnacentral:rRNA from 1 species